GGACUACAGGGGUUUCUAAUCCCGUUUGCUCCCCUGGCUUUCGCGCCUCAGCGUCAGUAGAGAUCCAGCACGUCGCUUUCGCCACCGGCGUUCCUUCUGAUAUCAACGCAUUUCACCGCUCCACCAGAAGUUCCACAUGCCCCUACCUCCCUCUAGACCAGCAGUCUCCAAGGCACUUUUCCGGUUAAGCCGAAAGAUUUCACCCCGGACUUGCCAGCCCGCCUACGCGCCCUUUAAGCCCAGUGAUUCCGAACAACGUUAGGACGGUUCGUCUUACCGCGGCGGCUGGCAC
rnacentral:rRNA from 1 species